AUUGAACGCUGGCGGCAUGCCUUACACAUGCAAGUCGAACGGCAGCAUGAUCUAGCUUGCUAGAUUGAUGGCGAGUGGCGAACGGGUGAGUAAUACAUCGGAACGUGCCCUGUAGUAGGGGAUAACUAGUCGAAAGAUUAGCUAAUACCGCAUACGACCUGAGGGUGAAAGUGGGGGACCGCAAGGCCUCAUGCUAUAGGAGCGGCCGAUGUCUGAUUAGCUAGUUGGUGAGGUAAAGGCUCACCAAGGCGACGAUCAGUAGCUGGUCUGAGAGGACGAUCAGCCACACUGGGACUGAGACACGGCCCAGACUCCUACGGGAGGCAGCAGUGGGGAAUUUUGGACAAUGGGCGAAAGCCUGAUCCAGCAAUGCCGCGUGUGUGAAGAAGGCCUUCGGGUUGUAAAGCACUUUUGUCCGGAAAGAAAUGGCUCUGGUUAAUACCUGGGGUCGAUGACGGUACCGGAAGAAUAAGGACCGGCUAACUACGUG
rnacentral:rRNA from 1 species